CAUGCCACCCCUUCUUCCUCUCUUUCCAACACCCAAGUGUUGGGUGUUCCAUCCCACAUGCCCAAGGUGAAGGGAGGUUGAUUCUAUAUUAAAGAAAAGAAGAAAUACUGCAGUUCAAGCGUUGAGAUCAUGAUCAAAGAUCAAAAAUUGAUUAAAGGUUCAAAAGGCUAAGAUUCUACUUGAAGAAGAAGGAUCUACAACGAGAAGAAAGGUUCAAGGUUAAUUCCGAUGGAUACCUGUAGAGGCUGGAUAUAUGUGCGGUUUAAAAAUCUUUAGAUCUAAGAUCAUCGGUUGUAGUGUAUUUC
rnacentral:lncRNA from 1 species